CGGAAGUAAGAAGAAGAAGAAGAGAAGCGCGAAGAAGGAGAAGAAGUGUACCUGUGCUCGGUGUCGUCGCUGUCGCCGUCUCUAUCGUCGUAUCCGGAAGGUAACACACCUAAUCCUUAUGCUCUGGCUUUGAUCCGCCUAUCACGGCAUUGUAUCAGGUUAGGGAGACCGAAGCCCUAACCUGUUAAUGUUUGAUUGUGAUUGUACCGAAUUUAAUUGUUGAUGAGGUUGCUUAGGGUUCGUGCGUGCUUGCUCGCGAUUCUGCCAGCGAGUUUAGAAUUAAGAAGUUUGGUUUAGACAUUCGAUACCGUGAGGUAGAGACAACCGUUUUGUUGGUUAAUUUUCACGUUUGGAGCUCCGCCGCUGCCAGCGAUGAACUCCGGCGCGGCGGAAGCUUUGCUCGCCGGCCAUGAUUAUGGAGGGAACAUUUGAAGGAGCGGUGUAUGGUUUGGCACGUGAGGGAGGUUCCGAAUCUCUUGUGUUGGACCAGUUUGGGCUUAGGCCCAUAUAAUUGACAUUUGCACACUGUUUCCAGUCUAGCACCCCCCUGUCCGGGCUUAACAUUGAACUUCAGGCCCAUUCUGAUCAGUUUGAUUUAAUUUUUUGCUAAAUGGACUUAGUUUUUGCUAAUGGAAUUAAUUGUUGGUAAUUAAAAAGUUAAUUGAAUUGAUCUCUUGGAUUAAUUUUUCUAAUUAGAAUUAAUAAUUAGGAUGAUUUUUAGGAUUUAAUUAGGAUAAUGGUUUAAUAUAAUUGACUUGGUAUUUACUUUAGAAUUUAAUUUUGUUAAUUGUUUUGGAAUUGAUUGUUGAUAACUCUUUAGAAUUUAAAUAUUUUUAAAUAUUCUUUUAUCGUCUCCUUUGAUUUUAUCUUAACAUUUAACAAUUAAUGAGGUUAGACAUGAAUAAAUAUGAAUGAGGUUAGACGGAUAUCAAGUAACAGUCAGAUGAAUAAGCGAAAAGGAGGGCAAAUUUUUGGGUAUGACAAUUGCCCCUAUUUAAUCUUCUCGGACAUGAAGGCAUGAAUAACAACUACUUUCAAACUUUCACGGUAGAAGAGGAUUAAAGACUUAAAAUAACCACAAAAUUUUCUCGUAGGGAAUGAGUGAAAUGAGUGAGAUGUACGGUAUUGUAGGAAGUUAUUCAGUGAGAUGCUUUAUGAAGUCAUGCAUGCUAUACGUAAUAUGCUAUGUAUGCUGAUCUCUUUUUUGUCCUUCUCUUAGCUUUUCUUUUUUUUUUCUUUUUCAUAUUUUUCAUUCUUUUCUCCUUAAAAUGGUAUAUGGGUCUGGACAGUGCAAGCAUCUGUAAUUUCAAUGACUUAGGCGAGGCCUUUGUCAAGAAGUAUAAGUAUAAUGUGGAUAUGGCGCCAGAUAGAGACCGGUUGAGGUCGAUGUCUUAGAAGGAUAAGGAGACGUUCAAAGAAUAUGCACAGAGACGAAGAGAAUUAGCUGCUCAGAUAAGUCUGCCUCUUGAAGAGAAGGAGAUGACUAAGAUCUUCUUGAAAACGCUGAGUUCGUUUUAUUACGAACGUAUGAUUGCAAGUGCCCCUAAUGAUUUUACCGAAAUGGUAAACAUGGGGAUGAGGCUAGAUUAUCCAAAAGCGUACGGGAAGUGACUUCGUGUUUUCAAUUUCAUCCUCCUCCUCUUAAAGCCAAAAAUUGGAUAUUGACAAAAUAAAGUAUGAGUGGCCACGAAUGGGUUUAUUCAAAACAUGCAUAUUCAUUUCAAUGUCAUUAUUAUUCAAAAACAAACGAGUUUAUUACCAAUGAAUGUUACAAAUGACAAUCAAGAAAAUCACACAUGAACAUGAUUGAACCAAACUAAUGACUACGAGCAUAAUUGGCCUUAUUCAAAUCCUCAGACUGGAAUUUUUAGGCUGGCAGCAGAUAACAUGACUAUCUUCAAGGAUACCCUUCUCAAACUCUUCUCAUAGGCGCAGACUCUUCAAACCUACCCUAGCUUCCAUUUGUAUUGAUCACGACGUUCCAGAUGCACCCUCUUGCGGAGGCAUGGGAGUGUGCACUAUGUUCAGGCCUUGUAGCGUGAACAUAAUAGCCCUUGAAUCAAUCAAGGCUUGUAUCUUGUGCUUGAAGACAUUGCAAUUCUCGAUCAAGUGCCCUGGCGUUCCAGAGUGGUACUCACAACUGACAUUCAUGUCAUAAUCUGGAGGAAGAGGUAUUGGAGGGGCCUUAGCUUCCCUCAGCUGCACCAAUGAGCUAUUAAGCAACAGGGGUAGAAGUCGACCAUACGACAUGGGCACUGGAUCAAACUGCUUUGGAGGCCUUCUUGGUCCCUGUUUUCUUUGUUGAGCGAAGUUUCGUUGCUGAUUUGGAUACUGGUUUUCCAUAGGGUUCCUCUGCCUUGGCCGGGGAACAGGAAAUGACCGCUGAUAUGGAGCCCUUUGAGGUAUAGGAUGUGGAUGAAAUCCACGAGGCUGCUCCCGAGGUGGAAGGGGGUCAGGCAUGUUCAUCGGAGUGGCCACUUCUGGUACAACAGUUGGCACGGGAUUGCUUUCCUUCCUUAGCAUCGACUGCAGGAUCUCCAUGAUCAGACUCAUCUGAGUCUUCAGCUGGUUGAUUUCAACCUUCAAUGCUUCUUGACCUCUUCGUAGUUCUUCCAUGGUGGUCUGUGACAUGCUUCUAGUUCAAGACAGAUAUCAGGAAAUCAACUUUGUUGGAAGUGGUUUGUCUGAUAGAAGGCCAAGUGAUAGUGAGAUUAGUCUCAUGAAAUGCAAGAUGCUAUGUGAAUUAUGCAUGAGUAUUAUAUCUUCUUGUAUCAUUUAUGAUGCAUGAAUGCAUGGAUGAACGGAUAGCAUAUAAACCCAUUCGUGGCCACUCAUACUUUAUUUUGUCAAUAUCCAAUUGUUGGCUUUAAGAGGAGGAGGAGGAUGAAAUUGAAAACACGAAGUCACUUCCCGUACACUUUUGGAUAAAACCCGACUGAUGAUGUAAGGCAUUGUUUCAAGUCCCAAACACUGGAGAUAUAAGGAAGAUAAUCCCUAGUUAACCCCUUCGAGCCAAGGAGUGGGAGUUUCUUUCUAUGCAUUAAAACCCUCAAUCUUAAACCAGGACAGGGUAGUCGUCAGUCAGUUUGACCAAGCGUUCAAACUUCAAAAGAGGAGCGUCUCAGUUGAGGAUCAACCAUACCAUAUCCCUCACAAGAGGUCGGAAACCAUCAAAUUCCAAACGGUUGUCCCUCACCCACAGAGGCACGAGCCGGUCACAACUUUCAAAUCAAACGGAUAGAUACAUAAUUCGUUUCAAAAUAAGAAACAAGAAGAAACAAAAACAAAGAAAAAGAAAGCCCGCUAAGUCGAAAGCUCAAAAACGAGUGACUUAGGCAAAAAAUUAGGGCAUCCCUGUGGAUUGUAAAUAUGAACCAAUCCAGCAAAAAUAGGGAAAUGAAAAAACAAAUUUGCAAAAGAGGAAUCAAAAGAAAACCCCCAGCAAGAACAAAUUCGUGUGGUUACAAACCAAACAAGAGAAGGGUGACUGCCACACCAAAAACCUUGUGGGUUCAUUAACCAUCACUCCCAAAUCCCUUUUGGAAGACGAGCGCUUGUGUCGAAUUAGCUGAACGUAGAACUGGAGAACAUCACGAAGAGCGGGUGGGUUAGGAUAGGUUCGAGCCUUAUAUCCUUUCUUUCUGAAACCGUGAACCAGACCACGUUACAACCCUCAAAAGACCUAAUUGAAGCAGGGUUUAUUUCGAAAGCGUACUAUGGUCAGAACAAUCGUGUUAAAACUGACUCCUCAACAAUUCGCUCAUAAUUUGUGUUGAUAUUGAUAUGACAUUCUCAACCAGUGAUGCAUUAAUUAUAUGUCAUAAUUCCGGUGAGCAUGCUUGGAUUUCAAAACUGCAUAAACAUGACAUUGCUAUUAUCAUUUCCAAAUAUGAACAUGUGUUACCCGUGAGUAAGCAUUUGACGUCAAAAGAGUUUUCAUAAUGAACGUGACUUGGAAAGCUUGGUGACCCCAGAAGAGAAUGAUGCCUAAAGACUUUGUUAAGCAGAGGCAAAUUACUUCAACUGAUUGGAUCAUAAGACAGAACACCUGAGAACUCCAUUGAGCAGAGACAGGUCGCCUUGAUUUGAUCGUACUCAUAGAGACAAACGCCUGAGACUCCGUCGAGCAGGGGAAAAUUAUUUUGAUUGAUAACAACAAGUUUUGAACUCCUAAGACUUUGUUGAGUAGCGACCAGUCACUUCAUUUGAUUAUAUCAAGAAGCAAAAUGUCCAAGAACUUCGUUAAGCAGAAGGACAAGAUGUUUCAUAUUUCAAUCAAUCCGAGACAGUUACAUCGAGGGAUUUCAACAAGAUCCAGUUAGUUUGAGACAGUUAUGUCGAGAUUCGGCGAAUCUCUCCAAAGAUCAGAUAAUCAAGGAAGUAAAUCACCCCUGUUGAUCGCAUCAGAAGACCAAACGCAUGAGAACUCCGUCGAGCAGGGGAAAAUUAUUUGGAUUGAUCCUAACAAGUGUUGAACGCCUGAGACUCCGUUGAGAAGCGACCAGUCACUUCAUGUGGUUAUAUCUAAGAAGCAGAAUGUCUAAGAACUCCGUUAAGCAGAAAAGAUAAGACACUUCAAUUUUCAGUCAAUCUGAAGCAAUCACGUAAAUGAAUCUCUACAAAUUGAUUGGUCUAAGGAAGUUAUGUCGAGAUUCGAUAAAUCGCUACGAGACAUUAGUCAGGGGCAUUCCCUCGGAGAUUUUCUAGCCAGAGGAAAAUUUAUUCCAAGACCUAUAUUGGGGCAGGCUACCUCAGGAAUCCAAGAAGUCAAUCUCUCAGAGAUAGUGAAUUAGAGGUGUACAGUUCCAAGAUACUGAGGCAGGUCAGAUCGAGAUGGCUAUCAUGACAAAGUUGCUUCAUAACUGGUGACUGGGGCAACACAUGCAGAGUUCCAAUUGACAGGGGCAUGACUGACUAGAGAAGGAAGAUCCUUUAUGUACUUUUGAGGUUGUUCAGAGCAAGAUCCAUGGUGCAUAAAAGACUUCUAAGUUCAAGAUGAAUAUCGGGGAAUCACGCUAAACACCCCCCCCCCUAAACCCUUAAGCAGAAACCACUGAUCUUAAUUGAUAAAUCUAAUGGUUACUGGUACCCAAUGUUCUCAAUCUCCUGGUAUUUCCUACCAUACCGUCUAACCAAAAGCUUGACCACGCAUCAUCAUUGCAUAAUCAAUCAUUCAUUACAUUGUAUUACAUCAUAAAGCGCAUAACAUAUUCCAUUAAGGUGGAGCAUUAUGCCUUGCAAAAUAAACAUGCAUAACUUCAUAAAAGUAUUUCUCGAAAGCGUAAAAGAAUCCUCCGUUAAGACAUUCUUCCUCCCCGGUUGCGAACAAUCUCCUAAAACCCUCGAGUGGUAUUCCCCGCAUGUUUUUCAAAACUUUCCCUUGGGUUGCCUUUAGCAAAUACCUUGGGAAUCUUCAACCAGUCACUUACCUUUCGUAAGCGGUCCACGGCCUUUUGCCUAGUGUAGCGGUGUAUUCGUUACCAUUGGAGAUAUUGACUAAAUCCAAGGUAAAUCAUACAAAGUCGAGUCGCCACCGCACUUCUAUUUAUCCAAAGGAAUGGUUAGAAAGCGAACAAAAACCCUAAAAGUUUUACAACAAAACUAGUAAAAGAAACAGAGAUCUGGUUAAGGGGGUUGGUUAUGCAAUGGGAAGGUGUUAGGCACCCAAAACAUCCUAGGUACUCCUAGGGAGCCCUUUUUACACUUUUGCAAGGUUAUUGUUUUUGUGAAAAUUUUAUUUGUGCAACAUGAUUGAAGAGAUGAGAAAAGAAUGUACAAUUAUUUACAUUUUGUGUUUGGAUGGAUAAACCCCUUGCUACGUUCCCUGUUAUAAAAAGAUAGGAUCAAAACCUCGUAGUUCGGGGUAAAAAUCUCAAAACAAAUGGGUGGAUUGAUUGGUCCAAAAGCCUUAAAGUCUUUUGUUACAAAAGGAGAAAAACUCAACCUAAAACCACAAAUCCACCAUGUGAGGAUAGCUUCAACAUGCUGGUGAGGGGUUAACCCUAUAAUAAGCAGGAAGACUCAUGUCCAUCACUAAGGAUAAAGGUGAGUAUUACAUCUACCACAAAGAUAACUCAAACCUAAUAGCUAAAGGUUAUGAAAAAUCUUGAUUAAGAAAGUGGACAUUGAAACCACAAAAGAAAUUUGAAUGGGUUAUAUUUACCAAUUAGAAGUAUAUACAAAAAAUGGUCAAAGUUGACUUAAAGAUUCAAUUCAAAAUGAGUGUUAUGAAAAGAAAGUUUGAAAAUCAAAAGCAUAAGGCUUAGGUUUCUAAUGUUGAAAACAAUAGUCAAAUGUUUGCACAAAAAUGGUUUUGGCUUGAGUUAGGGUGGAGAGAUGAAGAAAAAGGUUAAGUCCUAAAGAGAACAAAAAGUGAGGGAUAAGAAAUGAAACCAUACUAGGAGUUCCUCUCUUGAGAUCAUAUAGAUGAUCCAAGUGGUUCCCAUCCUUUGGAAUAAGCAAGCACAAAGCAUAAGCAAUCAAACAGGUCUCACAAGAGAUCCUCAAUGUAUUUUGUAACUUCCACUGGGAUGAACAUGGUAAUGAUCUUCAAAUUAAGCUCAAAGGGAAAAAUCCUAGUUCAAGAGUAUACACAUCAAACAUCACACACUAUAUCCAUACAAAAAGGCUCAAACAAAUGGGUGGGCUUUACUCAAGAGGGGUCAUGUCAACCUCGCCAAACAAGCCAAACUGUACAAGGGUAAUUUGUAGCUCUUAACGACUAACAUUGAGAGUUAGGGUGAAGCUGAUCAAACAGGUAAUGAGGAUGAGACCUCAUGCUCUUAACCCUGGCCAGGGUGAGCUCGUGAUAAAGAAAGCGUGGGGAUCCAGAAAGUGAAAUCCUAUUCCACUUGACAGACACUGGACAAAGAUCUUGGGCACAUGUUCAAAAGCAUCAGCACGUAGUGCGAGCAUAAAGAACGACACACUGAAUAACGGGGGAUUGGCUACUAAUCCCCUUUAUCCGUCAAUUGCCUCUACUCUUGGAGGUCUUAACAAAGAACACAUGCCUCUCUUGGAGGUCUUUGGCACAAUUGUAAACAAACACAAACAGAGCCUCUGAAGGAGGACUUGCCAGCAAAAUGCCUGUAAAAAAGGUGACAGGACUUCCAGACUACAUGAAGUAAGAAGAUAACUACCUAAGUGGUGUGUCAACCAUAAUCCAAAGCUCAAGCAAGAGCUAAAAGCAAGCAACUAAGGUACCUGUACAAAGGCUAAACAGUUAAUACUUCAGUUAUAAAACCAACAGACAAACAGUGAAUCCUUCCAACAAUUACACAAUCCAAUGAACAAUGCCCAAGCAUUCAAAUGAACUCAUGAGCUCAAGCACAUCACUUAAAAUCCUACAAAACAAACNACUCAUACUUUAUUUUGUCAAUAUCAAAUUGUUGGCUUUAAGAGGAGGAGGAGGAUGAAAUUGAAAACACGAAAGUACUUCCCGUACACUUUGGAUAAAACCGCGACUGAUGAUGUAAGGCAUUGUUUCAAGUCCCAACACUGGAGAUAUAAGGAAGAUAAUCCCUAGUUAACCCCUUCGAGCAAGGAGUGGGAGUUUCUUUCUAUGCAUUAAAACCCUCAAUCUUAAACCAGGACAGGGUAGUCGUCAGUCAGUUUGACCAAGCGUUCAAACUUCACAAAGAGGAGCGUCUCAGUUGAGGAUCAACCAUACCAUAUCCCUCACAAGAGGUCGGGAAACCAUCAAAUUCCAAACGGUUGUCCUCACCCACAGGGCACGAGCCGGUCACAACUUUCAAAUCAAACGGUAGAUACAUAAUUCGUUUCAAAAUAAGAAACAAGAAAAACAAAAAAACAAAGAAAAAGAACCCGCUAAGUCGAAAGCUCAAAAACGAGUGACUUAGGCAAAAAAUUAGGGCAUCCCUGUGGAUUGUAAAUAUGAACCAUCCAGCAAAAAAGGGAAAUGAAAAAACAAUUUGCAAAAGAGGAAUCAAAAGAAAAACCCCCAGCAAGAACAAAUUCGUGUGGUUACAACCAAACAAGAGAAGGGUGACUGCCACACCAAAACCUUGUGGGUUCAUUAACCAUCACUCCAAAUCCCUUUUGGAAGACGAGCGCUUGUGUCGAAUUAGCUGAACGUAGAACUGGAGAACAUCACGAAGAGCGGGUGGGUUAGGAUAGGUUUCGAGCCUUAUAUCCUUUUCUUUGAAACCUGUGAACCAGACCACGGUACAACCCCAAAAGACCUAAUUGAAGCAGGGUUUAUUUCGAAAGCGUACUAUGGUCAGAACAAUCGUGUUAAAACUGAUCUCUCAACAAUUCGCUCAUUAAUUUGUGUUGAUAUUGAUAUGACAUUCUCAACCAGUGAUGCAUUAAUUAUAUGUCAUAAUUCCGGUGAGCAUGCUUGGAUUCAAAACUGCAUAAACAUGACAUUGCUAUUUUCAUUUCCAAAUAUGAACAUGUGUUACCCGUGAGUAAGCAUUUGACGUCAAAAGAGUUUUCAUAAUGAACGUGACUUGGAAAGCUUGGUGACCCCAGAGAAGAGAAUGAUGCCUAAAGACUUUGUUAAGCAGAGGCAAAUUACUUCAACUGAUUGGAUCAUAAGACAGAACACCUGAGAACUCCAUUGAGCAGAACAGGUCGCCUUGAUUUGAUCGUACUCAUAGAGACAAACGCCUGAGACUCCGUCGAGCAGGGGAAAAAAUAUUUUGAUUGAUAACAACAAGUUUUGAACUCCUAAGACUUUGUUGAAGUAGCGACCAGUCACUUCAUUUGAUUAUAUCAAGAAGCAAAAUGUCCAAGAACUUCGUUAAGCAGAAGGACAGAUGUUCAUAUUUCAAUCAAUCCGAGACAGUUACAUCGAGGGAUUUCAACAAGAUCCAGUUAGUUUGAGACAGUUAUGUCGAGAUUCGGCGAAUCUCUCCAAAGAUCAGAUAAUCAAGAAAGUAAAUCACCCCUGUUGAUCGCAUCAGAGACCAAACGCAUGAAGACUCCGUCGAGCAGGGGAAAAUUAUUUGGAUUGAUCCUAACAAGUGUUGAACGCCUGAGACUCCGUUUAGAAGCGACCAGUCACUUCAUGUGGUUUAUAUCUAAGAAGCAGAAUGUUCUAAGAACUCCGUUAAGCAGAAAAGAUAAGACACUUCAAUUUUCAGUCAAUCUGAAGCAAUCACGUAAAUGAAUCUCUACAAAUUGAUUGGUCUAAGGAAGGUUAUGUCGAGAUUCGAUAAAUCGCUACGAGACAUUAGUCAGGGGCAUUCCCUCGGAGUUUUCUAGCCAGAGGAAAAUUAUUCCAAGACCUAUAUUGGGGCAGGCUACCUCAGGAAUCCAAGAAGGUCAAUCUCUCAGAGAUAGUGAAUUAGAGUGUACAGUUCCAAGAUACUGAGGCAGGUCAGAUCGAGAUGGCUAUCAUGACAAAUGUGCUUCAUAAACUGGUGACUGGGGCAACACAUGCAGAGUUCCAAUUGACAGGGCAUGACUGACUAGAGAAGGAAAGCCUUUAUGUACUUUUGAGGUUGUUCAGAGCAAGAUCCAUGGUGCAUAAAAGACUUCUAAGUUCAAGAUGAAUAUCGGGAAUCACGCUAAACACCCCCCCCCUAAACCCUUAAGCAGAAACCACUGAUCUUAAUUAUAAAUCUAAUGGUUACUGGUACCCAAUGUUCUCAAUCUCCUGGUUAUUCCUACCAUACCGUCUAACCAAAAGCUUGACCACGCAUCACAUUGCAUAACAAUCAUUCAUUACAUUGUAUUACAUCAUAAAGCGCAUAACAUAUUCCAUUAAGGUGGAGCAUUAUGCCUUGCAAAUAAAACAUGCAUAAACUUCAUAAAAGUAUUUCUCGAAACGUAAAAGAAUCCUCCGUUAAGACAUUCUUCCUCCCCGGUUGCGAACAAUCUCCUAAAAACCCUCGAUUGGUAUUCCCCGCAUGUUUUUCAAAACUUUCCCUUGGGUUGCCUUUAGCAAAUACCUUGGGAAUCUUCAACCAGUCACUUACCUUUCGAAGCGGUCCACGGCCUUUUGCCUAGUGUAGCGGUGUAUUCGUUACCAUUGGAGAUAUUGACUAAAUCCAAGGUAAAUCAUACAAAGUCGAGUCGCCACCGCACUUCUAUUUAUCCAAAGGAAUGGUUAGAAAGCGAACAAAAACUAAAAGUUUUACAACAAAACUAGUAAAAGAAACAGAGAUCUGGUUAAGGGGGUUGGUUAUGCAAUGGGAAGGUGUUAGGCACCCAAAACAUCCAGGUACUCCUAGGGAGCCCUUUUUACACUUUUGCAAGGUUAUUGUUUUUGUGAAAAUUUUAUUUGUGCAAACAUGAUUGAAGAGAUGAGAAAAGAAUGUACAAGUUAUUUACAUUUUGUGUUGGAUGGAUAAACCCCUUGCUACGUUCCCUGUUAUAAAAAGAUAGGAUCAAAACCUCGUAGUUCGGGGUAAAAAUCUCAAAACAAAUGGGUGGAUUGAUUGGUCCAAAAGCCUUAAAGUCUUUUGUUACAAAAAGGAGAAAAACUCAACCUAAAACCACAAAUCCACCAUGUGAGGAUAGCUUCAACAUGCUGGUGAGGGGUUAACCCUAUAAUAAGCAGGAAGACUCAUGUCCAUCACUAAGGAUAAAGGUGAGUAUUACAUCUACCACAAAGAUAACUCAAACCUAAUAGCUAAAGGUUAUGAAAAAUCUUGAUUAAGAAAGUGGACAUUGAAACCACAAAGAAAUUUGAAUGGGUUAUAUUUACCAAUUAGAAGUAUAUACAAAAAAUGGUCAAAGUUGACUUAAAGAUUCAAUUCAAAAUGAGUGUUAUGAAAAGAAAGUUUGAAAAUCAAAAGCAAAGGCUUAGGUUUCUAUGUUGAAAAACAAUAGUCAAAUGUUUGCACAAAAAUGGUUUUGGCUUGAGUUAGGGUGGAGAGAUGAAGAAAAAGGUUAAGUCCUAAAGAGAACAAAAGUGAGGGAUAAGAAAUGAAACCAUACUAGGAGUUCCUCUCUUGAGAUCAUAUAGAUGAUCCAAGUGGUUCCCAUCCUUUGGAAUAAGCAAGCACAAAGCAUAAGCAAUCAAACAGGUCUCACAAGAGAUCCUCAAUGUAUUUUGUAACUUCCACUGGGAUGAACAUGGUAAUGAUCUCAAAUUAAGCUCAAGGAAAAAUCCUAGUUCAAGAGUAUACACACAAACAUCACACACUAUAUCCAUACAAAAAGGCUCAAACAAAUGGGUGGGCUUUACUCAAGAGGGGUCAUGUCAACCUCGCCAAACAAGCCAAACUGUACAAGGGUAAUUUGUAGCUCUUAACGACUAACAUUGAGAGUUAGGGUGAAGCUGAUCAACAGGUAAUGAGGAUGAGAACCUCAUGCUCUUAACCCUGGCCAGGGUGAGCUCGUGAUAAAGAAGCGUGGGGAUCCAGAAAGUGAAAUCCUAUUCCACUUGACAGACACUGGACAAAGAUCUUGGGCACAUGGCAAAAGCAUCAGCACGUAGUGCGAGCAUAAGAACGACACACUGAAAAACGGGGGAUUGGCUACUAAUCCCCUUUAUCCGUCAAUUGCCUCUACUCUUGGAGGUUCUUAACAAAGAACACAUGCCUCUCUUGGAGGUCUUUGGCACAAUGUAAACAAACACAACAGAGCCUCUGAGGAGGACUUGCCAGCAAAAUGCCUGUAAAAAAGGUGACAGGACUUCCAGACUACAUGAAGUAAGAAGAUAACUACCUAAGUGGUGUGUCAACCAUAAUCCAAGCUCAAGCAAGAGCUAAAAGCAAGCAACUAAGGUACCUGUACAAAGGCUAAACAUUAAUACUUCAGUUAUAAAACCAACAGACAAACAGUGAACCUUCCAACAAUUACACAAUCCAAUGAACAAUGCCCAAGCAUUCAAAUGAACUCAUGAGCUCAAGCACAUCACUUAAAAUCCUACAAAACAAACAAAAGUUAGAACUCAAAUCAUUUGCAUCUCACAAAUUGAGAAACAAAUCAACCAUCAAUGCUAAAUGUCCAAACCUGAAACACAAAGCACAGUUGAAGUUAGUUUAUGCACAAAACACUAGUACAAAGACUAAGUUCAAAACCAAACCAAAUGAUCAAAACAGAACUCAAUCUUCCAUAUAAUGCACAUUCAAACAUUCCAUUUAAUGUCCUCAAAAGGACCAUCAUCAGUUCAAUAAGCAAAUAUCUCAAAUGGCCUAUGCUAUGCAAUGAUCACAAAAUGUGCACAAAGUGAACUUCCAACUUAGAAAAUCCAAAUCAAAACAGAAAUGAAUGCAAUGACCUUGAUAUUUUUUGUACAAGUUUCUCAUGUCAUGAACAAGCAAUAUGCAAAAGAUCAGAUCCAGAAAGAUUCAAAUGCUAUGUGAACAAAAAUGUGACAAUUCAAUGUCAAAAAUGUGACACAAAUUGUCACACUUUUCUCUAUGUGUCAAAAACAAUGAUAGCAUAUGAGAAAAAUUCCAAACCAGUGAUCAAAAAUUCACAUCAUGUAUGAAUAUGAAGCAUACAAAAAAUUGGAUCAAGAAGCUCAACAUAUAGAAUUUCACAAAGCAUUGAACACAAUAGGUCAAAAUGGCAUCACAUGGAUUCAAAAAUUCACACAUCACAAACCAGACAUCAACAAUUCAUGAAAUUAAUACCAUAAAAAACUAGACAUCAAAACAAAACUAUGAAAAAAAAUUGGAGUUCAUUUGGAUCAUUUUUCUAUUUUUUAUGAAUUUUACAAAAUGAACAAAAUAAAUGGAAUAACAUGGAAAUAUGGAGGGAAAUUCAAAUAUUUGAAUAAAACCAGAAUAAACAUGAGCCAUCAGAUAUGGCGCGCAUGGCAAAUCAACGUUCCAGGUUUAAACAAGCAAAACGCACCGUUUCAUUUAAACGGUCAGCAUGCACAAUCAUCAAUUCAACGCUAGCGUGGCAAGGUCAAAGCAAUCAUGUCCAAACAAACGCACACACAAGCAGCCAUAUGGAACACACAUCAGCACAAAACCCUAGCACGCAGACGCCGGAGCUACAGUCUUCGGUCGUCUUCUCCAGCCAACCACGCGGUGGCGCCGCCGUGAAAAUUACCAGAAAUGCAAAAGGCUUACAUCAUUCGAACCAGUUUUCCAUGGAGAUUCCAAAUAUGCAAUCCAAAUCUCCUAAUUCCUCAUGGAUUUUCCAGAUCGAAGCAAAACAUUAUCCAGAUCUAAACUUAAAGUUCAUCAUACAUGCUCAAUUCUUAACCAUUUUCAAAUCUAAACAUAUCUACAAGCUCUACUAAUCAAGAUCUACACAUCUAUAUCAAGAAAACAGCAAAAGGAGAGGAUCGAAUUUGCAUCACCUGGAAUUGAAGGUUGCUGAAAUCGUGUUCUCAAGAGCUCCAAUGCUCCAGAUCUUCUUCUUUAAUCUUCCUAUGAAGCUUUAAGCAAAAAGAAUCAGUUUAAACCACCUGGAUCUACUUCAAUUUUCAGAUUCCAUUGCCAUGAGAUUACACAUGAACUGCUCGAAACCUAGCCGAAUUGCUCAAAACAAUGGUUGAUUCUUGCUCAAUGAAUCAUGAUGAUCAAGAAUCUGCAAGAAUUUUUGGUGUUUGUGUGGAGGAAAAUGAAAUUCGAAAUGAGAGAAAAUUGGAGGGAGUUUUGAAUAUUCAGAUCUGAAAUGGUUCUCUCCCUUAGUUAGGAUUAGGGCUUGAGCUUUUAUAUCCCAUGCUAAUGAUGCUGCUAAUCACUUAAGCCAAUGGUUAAUCAAGAUUAAGGAGAUAUGAAGCUGUAGCACCUCAAAUUUGCACCCCCCAUUCAUGCAUUCAUUUCAUUUUUUAGGUCAUUUAUCAUUCCAUAUUGCAUUGCAUCUUGGCAGUCAGCAUUGGCAUCAAGAGAUUCAUCAGUACAAAAGAGCAAGUUUUUCCUUGAGAUGAAAAGGCCACAUGAUUAUUCUAAAGAGAGCUUAUAUGAGCAAGGUUCAUUUGAAGCAAACUUCCAGUGGUAGAGGCACACAAAUUCAUCAGUGCAAUACUCCAGCGUCAUCUGAGGCCCAUAAAAGUCAACUGUGCAGUCAACUGAGCGGCUUUGAGUGGAGAGAAAAUGUGUGAGGGACCCUUCAUUCAUGUCCAAAAGAGGCUUAUUCAUCAUGUCAAACAUCUACCUUGAAGAUUUUGAAGUCAAAUCAAAAGUUUCCAAAAAUGGAAAGUGACCUGUAAUUCAAGUUUCCAAAAAUGGCAAGUUUUUGGACCACAUUCAACUUGACUUUCCAACAUCAAAGAAGCUUCAAAUGAAAUUUUUGUCAACAUGAAAGUUGAAGAUCUUUCUCUUCCAUUUCCAAAAAGUUCAAGAUCAUGAGCAUCUGAUGAAUGGUUGAGGAGUUAUGAGCAAAUGAUUGCAAAGUAUGCUUGGAACUUCAGAAUGCCAUAACUUUUGCUACAAAACUCCAAAUUGAGCCACUCUUUUUGCAAAAUGCUUGUCAUGACCAAUAUUUUUCAAAUCAAACAUUGCAUUGCAUGAAAUUAACUCACAUGAUCAUUUGUCCAUGCAUGUAUAUUUUGGAGGGAAAAUGGAGAAUUCAAAUUCUAUUGAUCAUACAUGAAAAAUACCAAUAAUUGCCAUUGUGAUCUUUGGAUGAUUUUAAGUGACUCCUGAAACCAUGCAUGUGCACUGUUCACGUGUGAAAUCUCCAAUGGCACCACACACUUGCAAAAUGGUCAUACACCUCAUUUCUCAAAUUAAGUUUCACAUUAGCCACAGCUUAUUUGAUUAGCAUUGGUAAUUAACACAGGGUAUAAUAGAUAAUCCUAACUUGUUUUGCUCAGAAUACACGAUUCUAGAUCUAGAAAAUUUCACUUACCCUCCAAAAAAUUCUCUCAAUUGAAAACUUGAAUUUUCUUCACAUACUCAUUGAUUUUACUGCAUAAUCGUGUUCAUUGAGUGUCAUUGAGUAGAAUGAAGCAUUGAUUUUGAAGAUUUGGAUCAAGAAAAUCCGAGCUACACAAGCAUAUGACACUGAAGAAUGGAACUUGAAGUUUGAGCUAGAUCUAGAGGUUUUCAUUGCCAAUUCGUGCACAAAGCGUUCAUAACAAGGUUGGGAGAAGAUCUGGACAUUUUGGAGCUUGAUCCACGAUUUCGAAACUCACUGCUCUUCAAAGAGGUUGGAUUCGAUAAUUCUUGUUUCUUCAUUUCUUGCCAUGAUCUUGUAGAGUUUUAAUGCUGAUGAGUUGAUAUCAAUAGAUAUUAAAAUGAUCGAGAAUUGAGUAGAGAUUGCUGAGUUGAACUUUUGAUAAGUGCAUUAGUUUUCCUUCGAUUCACUAUACUCAGUGAGGAUUAGGCUUAAUGAUGUGUCAAAUCCUGUUCUCGUGACGAGACGUUCAGAUGUAUAAUAUGCUGUUUCUGAGAAAAAAAAUUGGUCUUCGUCCGCCCGGCUGGCCGAGAGAGACGGUGGAAACACCUCCAUCCACCGCCUGCAAUUAAUGGCUUAGGUUUACAUUACCGUGCAUAAUAACUUUGCCUCUCCAGUUCGAAAUCCGUUGCCACGACCUUUUAUUUCCACUUAUUAUCCUUUUCCCUGGCCAAACGCGAUGCGUUUUGUAGUGAAAACCUUGCAACCUAACAGUUCCUCAGUUCGAUCCAGGUAUGUUUGUUUGGAUUUUCCAUUUAUUUUGUGAAGCCACUUCUUUUACCUUGUUGGACUAGGGUUCUAACCUUGCGUUUGCCUUUCCAUUUUUAUUUCUAAGCGCCUUUGACUGCAUGAACUGUAGUUCAACUCCUGCCUUUGCACUUUUAAUUCCAAUUCACAUUUCAUUUUUUUUGAUAUUCACAUUAUUUCAUUUUGUUCAUUAAUUUCAAAAAAUCACUAAAAAUAGAAAACUAAUCCAAAUUAAUUCAUUUUUUUUCACUUUCUUGUUUCAAUGUCUAUUAUUUUGUGAUGUUAAUUUCAUGAUUUUUGCCCUGCUGGAAUUUUAAAUGUGCUUGAUUUGUUUGAACAUGAUACCAAUGAUGACUGUUGUGCUAAUUGUUUAGAAAUGCUCAUGUUUGUCCAAUUGCCUUGAAAUUGAGAUGCUCAUUCAUAACAUGUAACAUGAUCUUUUGGCUUUGUUUGGAAUUUUACCAUUUAUAUCUCACUGUUUUAGACACAUGGACAUAUGUUAACAUUGGUGUCACAUUUGACCUAGUCUUAUGCAUUUUCAUUCAUAUGCCAUUUGUUGUCUUCUGGACUUAAUUUUUGGUAUGAUGCUUGUUAGAUACAUGUCAGUGCACAUAAAAAUUUCAUGAUCAUUGGAUUCAUUUCUGUUUUAAUGUGGAUUUCUUGAUUUGAUGUCCAAUUGUGAUCACUUUGUUGCCUUUGCCUUAUCUUGUUAAUAGAUGGCCUUUGCUUAAUGAUUGGCUUUGGUCCUUUUGAGGCUUUCUUAUUGUUUGAUUGGACAUGCUUCACAUGAAAUAUUGGUUUUGUUCUUCCUGCCUUUGACCCUAGUCUUUGUACUAGUGGUUUGUACUCACCAUUGUGUUUGUGUUUCAGGUAUUUAGUCUAAUGAUUGGUUGUGGCCUCAUCAUUUGAGAUGCCAUUUGCUUUGUCUAUUAACUUUGUUGUGUUGUCAGUCCGUUGAUGUGAUGAACUCACUUGAGUGAUGAUUUGAGACUUACCUUGUGUAUAAUUUGUGAUGAUUCCUCUAUUGCUGUCUGGUUUUCUGAAUGUGAAUAUUGACGUUUGGCUUUUGUACAGUGUACAUUAGUCGUUUUUAGCUCUUUUCUUGAGCUUUGCUUUGGUUUGUGGUUGGUUACCACUUAGAUCUCUCUCUNCUUCACAUAACUCAUUGAUUUUACUGCAUAAUCGUGUUCAUUGAGUGUCAUUGAGUAGGAAUCAAGCAUUGAUUUGAAGAUUUGGAUCAAGAAUCGAGCUACACAAGCAUAUGAACAUGAAGAUGGAACUUGAAGUUUGAGCUAGAUCUAAGAGGUUUUCAUUGCCAAUUCGUGCACAAAGCUUCAUAACAAGGUUGGAGGAGAAGAU
rnacentral:lncRNA from 1 species